AAAAAAUACGUCAUAUUAUAAUUUAAGACGUAAAUCUUUUGAAUUCAAUAUUGGUGAUAUAGUGUAUAAACGUGCUUACGUUCUGAGCGAUAAGGAUAAGCACUUUAGUAAGAAGUUAGCUCCCAAAUACAUUAAAUGCCGGGUCAUUCAAAAGCUGUCACCACUUGUAUAUGUCUUGGAAGACAUGUCCGGUAAAAAUUUAGGGUCUUGGCAUAUUAAGGACUUGAAAAUUUCUACCUUAAAAUAAACACGAUCUUUGUUACGUUUCCCCUUUCACUAUUAAACUUUUAAGAUCUGUUACCAAAGUUAGUGACGACUAAUAGUCGCUUGAUUUUUUUGGUAUGGUAGGACACGUCGCAUGAUUAUAAUAUCGUGUGAUGUCUGGUAUGAUUGGUUUUGAGAGGUGAGGCAUGAUUGAAAUGAAAGUAUGAAUAAAAGGGUAUGGUAACGAGUUUGUCAUGCGGAUUUUAUUUUUAAAAUAAAAUCCUUAUGAGGGACCGGGGGUAAUGUAACGGAACGUUACAUGAUUUGCAAAUGCUAGUCUUUGUUUGUGCGCGGGUUAGGAACGCGCGGAAUGAACGGAACGAAGGGUUUUGAUCGAUGCAGCGGCGGGCGUGAGCGCAGCGCCGGAUUGACAUUCGCUCGCUGGUCGCUUCUAGACUGGUGUGUGCGUUGACCUCCAACCAAAUUCCGUCGUGGCAAGCGCCCUAGCAGACACGGCCGUUUAAUUUUGAAAAUUAAUUUUAUUAAAUCAAGUGAUUCAGUAUAUUUGUUGUGUGGAAAUCCCGAAUUAGGGUUUUUCCACCCGGCUAUAAGACGCCAGCAGCAGCAGCCUCGUGUUCGGUUUGUUACGAGCCGAGGUGUCGCCGUCGCGAUAGCUUCGUGCAGCACCGCGUGCACGUCAGCACCGUCUCCAUCCCUGUGACGUCACCGUACAGCACUGCAGUACAUCUCGGCCUACUUCCAUCUCCGGCCAGCGGCGUGUUUUCGCCGCCACUACAGGGGAGUACCUAUCCCUGCAGAAGUGACUUCAGACAAAGUUAUACUCACGACCCACAAAUCAAAUCUUUGUGUGCCUCCGGCUGUGGUUCUUUUUUCCAUUAUACAUUUUUUUUAAAAGGUA